AAUAUCCAACAAGUUAGGUGAGCUGACCAUUAUUCACACCGGGAGACAGUGCCGGAAGAAGCUUAAAAAAUGAAAACAAAAUGAAAGGAAGAUCGAGGAUCACAAUACCAGAAGCUGUUCUGACCGGCGGAGCAAAUAGUUUGACCUUCUACAUGCGUUGCAGGGUCAGAGGUCGGCCUUCUACGGCACUGCGGCAACGAUUGACUCGGCUGCUGCGUUGUUGGGAAGUCAUGGUGGAAGACACAGAUACUGGAUAACCAGUCGGUUUAAGAAGGCAUGUAAGGUAGAUAAAACUAUCUACGACGCUAACCGGACAGUCCUUCAGCAAAAGGACAGGAGCAGCAGGAUCAGUAUAUGCAGCUGCUAUAAUGAGAAAAGAGCCAGGCUGAGGAGAGCCGCAUAAAGAGCGAUAAGGAGACAAGCCUGCCUCCUGACCUGUCUGCCUGCCCCUUGGAUUCUCCUACCGUUUAACCCUGCCUGUACUGUUGCCAUCGCGGACUGAUCACCCGGUAUUCCGACCUGCCUGCCUGCCCCUGGAUUCUUCUGCC